AACGAACGCUGGCGGCGUGCCUAAUACAUGCAAGUAGAACGAGUGGCGAACGGGUGAGUAACGCGUCGGGAAAUUCCCCAUAGCGGGGGGUAACUAAUGGAAACGAUAGAUAAUAGCGCAUACAGUGAGAUGGACCUGCGUUGUAUUCGCUAGUGGGAAAGGUAAAGGCUCACCAAGACGCCGAUACAUAGCCGACUUGAGAGGGUGAUCGACCACACCGGGACUGGGACACGGCUCCGACUCCGACGGGAGGCAGCAGUAGGGAAGCUUCGGAAAUGGACGGAAGUCUGACCGAGCAACGCCGCGUGGGUGAAGACGGUUUUCGGAUCGUAAAGCUCUGUUGUUAGAGAAGCGGUAACUAACCAGAAAGGGACGGCUGACUACGUGCCAGCAGCCGCGGUAAUAC
rnacentral:rRNA from 1 species